rnacentral:tRNA from 1 species
GGGUGGAUAGCUCAGCGGUAGAGCAUCGCCCUUACAAGGCGGGGGUCAUCCGUUCAAAUCGGAUUCCACCCA